AGGCUGCUGAGAGAGGCUCCCACUGCAGAGGGCAAUGGCCAUUCUCCAGACUUUUCCCAGCAUGUUCCAGAGCCCAUCUCUCUCAGCUCAGAAGCCUUGGAAGGACUACGCAGCGCAGCCUUCUCCUUUCUCCCAGGCUUGGGAAACAUACAGCUCUGAACGUGGGAGAAAACAGGGUAUGUAUGCAGUAUCUCUCUUCUGCCUGGAUGCAGAGCGAGCUU
ensembl:lncRNA